AUUGAACGCUGGCGGCAGGCCUAACACAUGCAAGUCGAGCGGAUGAAGGGAGCUUGCUCCUGGAUUCAGCGGCGGACGGGUGAGUAAUGCCUAGGAAUCUGCCUGGUAGUGGGGGAUAACGUCCGGAAACGGGCGCUAAUACCGCAUACGUCCUGAGGGAGAAAGUGGGGAUCUUCGGACCUCACGCUCUCAGAUGAGCCUAGGUCGGAUUAGCUAGUUGGUGGGGUAAAGGCCUACCAAGGCGACGAUCCGUAACUGGUCUGAGAGGAUGAUCAGUCACACUGGAACUGAGACACGGUCCAGACUCCUACGGGAGGCAGCAGUGGGGAAUAUUGGACAAUGGGCGAAAGCCUGAUCCAGCCAUGCCGCGUGUGUGAAGAAGGUCUUCGGAUUGUAAAGCACUUUAAGUUGGGAGGAAGGGCAGUAAGUUAAUACCUUGCUGUUUUGACGUUACCAACAGAAUAAGCACCGGCUAACUUCGUG
rnacentral:rRNA from 1 species